GACGAACGCUGGCGGCGUGCUUAACACAUGCAAGUCGAACGGUGACGAGGAGCUUGCUCCUCUGAUCAGUGGCGAACGGGUGAGUAACACGUGAGUAACCUGCCCCAGACUCUGGGAUAACAGUUGGAAACAGCUGCUAAUACCGGAUACGAGACGGAGAGGCAUCUCUACCGUCUGGAAAGUUUUUCGGUCUGGGAUGGACUCGCGGCCUAUCAGCUUGUUGGUGAGGUAAUGGCUCACCAAGGCGACGACGGGUAGCCGGCCUGAGAGGGCGACCGGCCACACUGGGACUGAGACACGGCCCAGACUCCUACGGGAGGCAGCAGUGGGGAAUAUUGCACAAUGGCGAAAGCCUGAUGCAGCGACGCCGCGUGAGGGAUGACGGCCUC
rnacentral:rRNA from 1 species